rnacentral:rRNA from 1 species
AGUGAACGCUGGCGGUAGGCCUAACACAUGCAAGUCGAACGGCAGCACAGAGGAGCUUGCUCCUUGGGUGGCGAGUGGCGGACGGGUGAGGAAUACAUCGGAAUCUACUCUGUCGUGGGGGAUAACGUAGGGAAACUUACGCUAAUACCGCAUACGACCUACGGGUGAAAGCAGGGGACCUUCGGGCCUUGCGCGAUGGGAUGAGCCGAUGACGGAUUAGCUAGUUGGCGGGGUAAAGGCCCACCAAGGCGACGAUCCGUAGCUGGUCUGAGAGGAUGAUCAGCCACACUGGAACUGAGACACGGUCCAGACUCCUACGGGAGGCAGCAGUGGGGAAUAUUGGACAAUGGGCGCAAGCCUGAUCCAGCCAUACCGCGUGGGUGAAGAAGGCCUUCGGGUUGUAAAGCCCUUUUGUUGGGAAAGAAAUCCAGCUGGCUAAUACCCGGUUGGGAUGACGGUACCCAAAGAAUAAGCACCGGCUAACUUCGUGCCAGCAGCCGCCGCGG